rnacentral:misc_RNA from 1 species
UGAGCAUGGAACUCAGCUAUCUGGUGGUCAGAAGCAGAGAAUUGCAAUUGCAAGAGCAAUCCUGAAGGACCCUCGAAUUUUACUUUUAGAUGAAGCUACCAGUGCACUUGAUGCAGAAUCUGAAAGGGUAGUUCAAGAGGCACUAGACAGGAUUAUGGUCAACCGAACAACUGUUAUUGUUGCCCAUCGUCUGAGUACAAUUAGGAAUGCUGAUGUAAUUGCUGUCAUCCACUGUGGAAAGAUCGUUGAAAAAGGUAUCUUACGUUUACACUAUGAGCUUACUUUUUGACAUAUACUGCAAUCUCAAAUAUGCUUGUCAUCUAGUAGUAAAGUUUUUGUUGCCAAAUUGGUUUAUCUUGUCUUCACAUUGUCACGUAUCCUCCACAGUUUCAAACUCUGAAAUGUAUAUCGUGUAUUUUCAUUCAUUUUGCGAGUUCUUAAUGCAGAGCCAGGAUCGUGAUUCAUUUUCCAAAACUCCUAUUUGUUUACUGAAAUUUCCAUAAAAAUUUGAGAAUUGUGAGUAUAUCAAACCUCGUGGAUGUUGUGUAUUGGGUUACUUUUUUUCUGUACAAAUAAAUUAGUUGUGAAAAUUUCAGCUUUGUUUAGAAUAUUGUCCUGUUUAGGUAGAAUAUUUAUUAUUUGUCAUGGCUCCAAUUUAUUCUUGCGAGUUUAAUCCACAAUAAUGUAAUUUAAUUUGUUUUUGUUUGAUUAGGCUCACAUUCAGAGCUACUCUCGGAUCCUGAUGGUGCAUACUCUCAACUAAUACGGUUACAAGAGUUAAAUAAAGAUUCAGAACGUGUAGCAGAGGACCAUAAAAGAUCAGAUCUUUCUUCUGAAUCCUUUAGACAGUCAAGUCAAAGAAUUUCACUGCAACGAUCCAUUAGUCAGGGAUCAUCUGGAGUAGGAAAUAGCAGUCGCCAUUCAUUCUCAGUCUCAUUUGGCUUACCUACAGGAAUUAAUGUCACUGAAAAUUCCCACGAACAAUAUGACUUUUCUCCACCAAAAGGAAAAACUCCAGAGGUCCCAAUCCAUAGGCUUGCAUAUCUUAACAAGCCUGAGAUUCCUGUGCUUGCACUUGGAACUAUAGCUGCCUGUAUCAGCGGUGUUAUAUUUCCAGUUUUCGGCAUACUCCUUUCCAGAGUGAUUAAAUCAUUUUAUGAACCACCUCAUGAAUUAAGAAAGGAUACGAAGUUCUGGUCAUUUAUUUUUAUGGUGCUUGGGGUGACAUCAUUUUUUGCACUUCCGUCACGAUUUUACUUCUUUGGUGUGGCUGGAAAUAGACUAAUUCAACGUAUUCGAACGAUUUGCUUUGAGAAGGUA